rnacentral:lncRNA from 1 species
GCUUAAGGCAUCUGAGCAGCUGCUUCAAGACUGAAUUUCAAAUUCCUUCUUUUUUUUUUCUUUGCUGUUCAGUCUACAAAAUAACUCCAAACAGGACUAGCAUUAAUCCUCAGAAAAGAAGAAAUGGGAACAGAAGUAACACCAUUUAUCUCUGUUGCUACCAGUUUCCAAACAGAGGCAUGGCUCUAUUUGAACACGAAUAGGAUCACAUCAUAGAUGGGUCAGAGACUGCUUCUAUCAUCCACUGCAAGAGAAGAGAGGAGAUCCCAGGAGCAGAAUAGAUGAUUCUUGAAACUGAGGCUAACAAAAACUAUAAAUCUGUACAGAGCAUAAAUCUCAGAGGGAGAUACAAAGAGGGCAAGUUGAUCACAGGAGAUCAGGACGCUUGUUUAAGGUUAUGUUAUUGAAGUAGUAAAUAAAAUCUGUUAUCUGAUGGUCGUACAAGUAGUGCAAGUGAAACCAAUCAGAUGCCUCACACAACACACUCAUAAACAUUUAUAGCCAACAAACUGUGCCUUUUGUGAACAAGACUGAGUGUUUCUCACCAUGAAAAAGGAUGUUUUCCAGAAAAUAUCUACAAUGUGGCAACACUUUGUUGUUCAUAUUAUGCCCAAUCAUCAGAAAAAUACUGUUAGCAGAUGCUUGAUUCUGUACAAUGAACCUUUUAUUCGUUACAGGCUUCUCUGAAGAUGCUCUAAGAAAAGUAUAAGUGACUGGGAU